CUGCGAGGACAGUGGGCGGCCUUUUGUUGGGGCCCUGGUUCACGGGAAGUUUGAGGUCAAUCAGGAUUAAAAUGUUUUAGGGAACAAAUGAAGUAAUUUGAGCACAAUAUAAGGAGCGCUCUGCCGGCAUUUACUCGGGAUCCAGGGUCAUGGGCAUGCUGGAGCCUGUUCCAGCUAUCUUGGGGAGGAAGCCAGGGCGCAUGCAGGUGCAAGCAAUGAAGAGGUGGACAGUGACAGCAAUGCGCCGCUGCACUUUGCUCGGGAGGCACGGCCUGAUCCGAUGGAGCCGAUGGAUCCUCCUCUUUGGGGAGGCACGCGGUGUCUGAGGGUAGAGACAGGUCCAUUGUGCGCUUGCACGAGGGAGGUCCGGUUCUGCACAGUGUUCUCACCGCUCUGACCUCAUCAGCUGAUAAAACAAAUUGGGUGCAAGUGAAGUAGCUGACGUGUUUUUGAUUAAGAGGUGGGUGACUUCGUUGGGUGUACUCAUUUGUGACUCAUUUGUGUAACCUUGCACUUCAGUAAAAUGACAACAGCAUAGAUUGAGAGUUAUACUUUAUGAUGCUAAUCAUGUUUUAUUUCUUAAUAAGGUGAUACCUAAAGGAUAAACCACUGACUAAAAAUGUAAUAAUGUUGUACUCUCGAUCAGUGAGGCGAGCCUUUUUUUUUUUUCAGUGCCGGUCUGUGGCGCAGUGGUUGGGGACCAUUGUUCUAAGAUGCCGGGGAUGCCAUCUGAAUGAAAAAUCGCGCGGUGUUCUGUAUAAGACCCAUUCAACAGUACAUUUCGACGUCAAAAUGGAAUUAAAAGCUUCUAGUUUUCCCCUCCAAAAAUAAAAACUUGCUGCGCCAGUCGACACUGC